CCUACGGGAGGCAGCAGUGGGGAAUAUUUCGCAAUGGGCGAAAGCCUGACGCAGCGACGCCGCGUGAGGGAUGAAAGUCUUCGGAUCGUAAACCUCUGUCAGCAUGGGAGAACGGUCACUGUGCUAAUCAGCAGUGAAUUGACGGUACCUGCAAAGGAAGCACCGGCUAACUCCGUCCCAGCAGCCGCGGGAAUACGGAGGGUGCGAGCGUUAAUCGGAAUUACUGGGCGUAAAGCGCUCGUAGGCGGUAUGUCAAGUCAAGGGUGAAAUCCCCGCGCUCAACGUGGGAACUGCCUUUGAAACUGGCAGACUGGAGUGUGUGAGAGGAUAGUGGAAUUCCAGGUGUAGGAGUGAAAUGCGUAGAUAUCUGGAGGAAUAUCAGUGGCGAAGGCGACUAUCUGGCACAUAACUGACGCUGAGGAGCGAAAGCGUGGGUAGCAAACAGGAUUAGAUACCCGAGUAGUC
rnacentral:rRNA from 1 species